rnacentral:rRNA from 1 species
UACAUGCAAGUCGAGCGAACAGACGAGGAGCUUGCUCCUCUGACGUUAGCGGCGGACGGGUGAGUAACACGUGGAUAACCUACCUAUAAGACUGGGAUAACUUCGGGGAACCGGAGCUAAUACCGGAUAAUAUAUUGAACCGCAUGGUUCAAUAGUGAAAGACGGUUUUGCUGUCACUUAUAGAUGGAUCCGCGCCGCAUUAGCUAGUUGGUAAGGUAACGGCUUACCAAGGCAACGAUGCGUAGCCGACCUGAGAGGGUGAUCGGCCACACUGGAACUGAGACACGGUCCAGACUCCUACGGGAGGCAGCAGUAGGGAAUCUUCCGCAAUGGGCGAAAGCCUGACGGAGCAACGCCGCGUGAGUGAUGAAGGUCUUCGGAUCGUAAAACUCUGUUAUUAGGGAAGAACAAAUGUGUAAGUAACUAUGCACGUCUUGACGGUACCUAAUCAGAAAGCCACGGCUAACUACGUGCCAGCAGCCGCGGUAAUACGUAGGUGGCAAGCGUUAUCCGGAAUUAUUGGGCGUAAAGCGCGCGUAGGCGGUUUUUUAAGUCUGAUGUGAAAGCCCACGGCUCAACCGUGGAGGGUCAUUGGAAACUGGAAAACUUGAGUGCAGAAGAGGAAAGUGGAAUUCCAUGUGUAGCGGUGAAAUGCGCAGAGAUAUGGAGGAACACCAGUGGCGAAGGCGACUUUCUGGUCUGUAACUGACGCUGAUGUGCGAAAGCGUGGGGAUCAAACAGGAUUAGAUACCCUGGUAGUCC